rnacentral:rRNA from 1 species
UACGUAGGCAGCGAGCGUUGUUCGGAAUUACUGGGCGUAAAGAGUGUGUAGGCGGUGCUCCCAGUCUGUUGUGAAAUCUCCCGGCUUAACUGGGAGGGUGCAGCGGAAACUAGAGUGCUAGAGGGUGGGAGAGGUAAGCGGAAUUCCUGGUGGUAGCGGUGAAAUGCGUAGAUAUCAGGAGGAACACCUGUGGUGUAGACAGCUUACUGGACCACUUCUGACGCUGAGACACGAAGCG